rnacentral:rRNA from 1 species
AGUGAACGCUGGCGGUAGGCCUAACACAUGCAAGUCGAACGGCAGCACAGUAAGAGCUUGCUCUUACGGGUGGCGAGUGGCGGACGGGUGAGGAAUACAUCGGAAUCUACUUUUUCGUGGGGGAUAACGUAGGGAAACUUACGCUAAUACCGCAUACGACCUACGGGUGAAAGCAGGGGAUCUUCGGACCUUGCGCGAUUGAAUGAGCCGAUGUCGGAUUAGCUAGUUGGCGGGGUAAAGGCCCACCAAGGCGACGAUCCGUAGCUGGUCUGAGAGGAUGAUCAGCCACACUGGAACUGAGACACGGUCCAGACUCCUACGAGAGGCAGCAGUGGUGAAUAUUGGACAAUCGGCACAAUCCUGAUCCAGCCAUACCGCGUGGGUGAAUAAGGCCUUCGGGUUGUAAAGCCCUUUUGUUGGGAAAGAAAAGCAGCAGGUUAAUACCCCGCUGUGAUGACGGUACCCAAAGAAUAAGCACCGGCUAACU